GACGAACGCUGGCGGCGUGCUUAACACAUGCAAGUCGAACGGAAAGGCCCUGCUUGCAGGGUGCUCGAGUGGCGAACGGGUGAGUAACACGUGGGUGAUCUGCCCCUUACUUUGGGAUAAGCCUGGGAAACUGGGUCUAAUACUGGAUAGGACCAUGCUGUAGGUGGUGUGGUGGAAAGAUUAGUUUCGGUAAGGGAUGAGCUCGCGGCCUAUCAGCUUGUUGGUGGGGUAAUGGCCUACCAAGGCGUCGACGGGUAGCCGGCCUGAGAGGGUGGACGGCCACAUUGGGACUGAGAUACGGCCCAGACUCCUGCGGGAGGCAGCAGUGGGGAAUAUUGCACAAUGGGCGCAAGCCUGAGGCAGCGACGCCGCGUGGGGGAUGACGGCCUUCGGGUUGUAAACUCCUUUCAGCCAUGACGAGGCCCUUGUGGUGACGGUAGUGGUAGAAGAAGCACCGGCUAACUACGUG
rnacentral:rRNA from 1 species